rnacentral:rRNA from 1 species
CAAUAGCGUAUAUUAAAGUUGUUGCAGUUAAAAAGCUCGUAGUUGGAUUUCGGGUGGGAAUGGCCGGUCCGCCGUUUCGGUGUGCACUUGCUACGCCCACCUUGCUGCCGGGGACGUGCUCUUGAGUUCACGCUCGGGACACGGAGUCGGCGAGGUUACUUUGAGUAAAUUAGAGUGUUCAAAGCAGGCCUACGCUCUGAAUACAUUAGCAUGGAAUAACACGAUAGGACUCUGGCCUAUCUUGUUGGUCUGUAGGACCGGAGUAAUGAUUAAGAGGGACAGUCGGGGGCAUUCGUAUUUCAUUGUCAGAGGUGAAAUUCUUGGAUUUAUGAAAGACGAACUACUGCGAAAGCAUUUGCCAAGGAUGUUUUCAUUGA